UGGGUGAUCUGCCCUGCACUUCGGGAUAAGCCUGGGAAACUGGGUCUAAUACCGGAUAUGACUCCUCAUCGCAUGGUGGGGGUGGAAAGCUUUAUUGUGGUUUUGGAUGGACUCGCGGCCUAUCAGCUAGUUGGUGGGGUAAUGGCCCACCAAGGCGAUGACGGGUAGCUGGUCCGAGAGGAUGACCAGCCACAUUGGGACUGAGACACGGCCCAGACUCCUACGGGAGCAG
rnacentral:rRNA from 1 species